GAGGCGGGGUGGUGGAGGGAAUAUGUAUAGAUAUAUUGAUAUUUUUCUGUUUUUUUUAUGUUGUUUUUCUUGCAAAGGACAUAAAAAACAAAGCAGUCCUCCGUGGAGGAGGGGUGGUGGAGGGAAUAUAUAUAGAUAUAUUGUUAUUUUUGUGUUUUUUUAUAUAUUUUUUUUUCGCAAAGGACAUAAAAAACAAAGCAGUCCUCCAUGGAGGAGGGGUGGUGGAGGGAAUAUAUAUAGAUAUAUUGAUUUUUUUUGUGUUUUUUAUGUUUUUUUUUGCAAAGGACAUAAAAAACAAAGCAGUCCUCCGUGAAGGAGUGGUGGUGGAGGGAAUAUGUAUAGAUAUAUUGAUAUUUUUCUGUUUUUUUUAUGUUGUUUUUCUUGCAAAGGACAUAAAAAACAAAGCAGUCCUCCGUGGAGGAGGGGUGGUGGAGGGAAUAUGUAUAGAUAUAUUGAUAUUUUCUGUUUUUUUAUGUUGUUUUUCUUGCAAAGGACAUAAAAAACAAAGCAGUCCUCCGUGGAGGAGGGGUGGUGGAGGGAAUAUGUAUAGAUAUAUUGAUAUUUUUCUGUUUUUUUUAUGUUUUUCUUGCAAAGGACAUAAAAAACAAAGCAGUCCUCCGUGGAACAGGGGUGGUGGAGGGAAUAUAUAUAUAUAGAUAUAUUGUUAUUUUUGUGUUUUUUUUUAUGUUUUUUCCGCAAAGGACAUAAAAAACAAAGCAGUGUAUUCAUUCAUACUGUCAUGACCUGCUCGUCCGGUCCCCCCUCCUCAUCUACCUUGUGUGGAAUCCCUGUGUUACCAGCUGUUUCUUUAACUAUGUUUAACUAUUCUUUAAAUAUGUUGUUUUAAUUAAUCUGAUGUAUUUAAGUCCGCAUUAGAGUAUGUUUCCUGAGUCCAGUCAUUAAUGUCAUUGCGUGUUUUCUGCCUGUUCCGUUGUCCUGCUUGUCUUCACUCCGAAUUAACCUCCGUGUUCCCUGAUUCCUCGAGUCCUGUCCCUGCCUCCCCGGUUCGCGCACCAUGACACAUACCUGGAAUAUGUGAUUUUUUGUGGACAGCCAUACACGCUGACCAGGCCAUUAGACUGGGGCAGGAGACGACGGCAAUCGGCUUGCUGUUUCUGCUGCUGAGGCCAGGAGCUUAGCUGAGGAAGGGCCUCCUUCCAAACCACCCUGCUUCUUGGGUACUGUAGAAGAAGUUUUUGGGACUGACCAUCAAGGAUUAACCUUUCUUGACUUGGAAAGCUGUAUUUACAAAUAAGGAAUUUCUAUAGAAAUUAUUAAAAUCAGCAGUGUUCCUGUAGUGAACAAACAAGGUAAAGGAAUGGCAUCUAGCCAAGAAAAGUAUGAAUGACUGGAAUGUACAUAGAGCGGAGACCAUCUAGAAAUACCUUGUUGCAUUGUAUAAAUUAGAACUUGGAGCCUCUUUCCAUUGAAGCUGUUUGUGAUUUCCCCUUUUGUAUCACUCUGCUUCCCUUUCAGAAAAGAAAUAAAAUCCCGUCUCUUCAGAACUAGGUCAGCUCAGGCUGGGGAGCAUGCGCUGAUGCAGCCCGUGGCUUGAUCCACCACACAGUGAAACUUCUUGUGAUCCCAGCCGGUGAUCCCCCAGGUAAUGCGCCUCAUUCGGGACUCCUCUAGCCACCGCUCAUUCGACACAAAGUCAAACCAGCGGUACGCGAAGAGACAAAGUACCGAAGGAGUCCAGUCUUCGUCUCAGCUCACUGGAUAGCGUCCACAUCUCACGUCCAUACAGCAAGACAUUGAGCAUCAAGACUCUAAAGACUUGGACCUUCGUCCUCUUGCAAAGACAUUGGGAGCCACACACCCCUUUCCAGUGGCCUCAUGACCCCCAUGCUCUUCCAAUUCAUCACCAGAGACGUGAACGUCGCUGCCGAGUUCUUACUCCUUCGCAGGGUUACGGGGAUAUCUUCAUCCCUUAAGAGCAGCCCAAAAAUUAGGCUGCAAAGAGGCUGCGGAGGAGGACUUUGGCUGCUUUUGGUCUGGUGGUAGGAGACAGUCCUAGGUUGGACAUGGAGCCCAUCGUUUCUUGAUAUUCUGUGGUGUACAGAGCCAACACCAACCAUCAGACUAGUGUUACCUGAAGCAUAAUAACUCCUAAUAUGUCCAGCACCAUUUUAACUCCUUAAAACUAAGCCCAGUACCUCGAGGAGCAUCUUUGGAAUCCUCAGGAAGGAUCUGAGGAAAGAAACGAUCCUCCCAUGUCUGCUGCCCAAAAUGAUAUCUGGGGCCUCGGGGUCUCCUUCACCGUCUGCACCACCUGAAAACAAUAAUGCAGGGUGAGUAUACAGGCCUUUUUACCACUUUCCAUUACCUUCUUCUUGAGCUUGGGCCAUGGGCAUAUGCUAAUCACUCUGUUGAAAGGUGUGCGAUCCGCAGGUGAUGCAGUACCUGUCGCAGCUGCUGUGGCUGGGCUGCAGCACGUAUCCUGGACCGCAGGUGUGCAUGGUUCCUCACCAUGAGGUAAGUUGCGGUCCAGGUGGAGGAACUUUAGCACAAUAUUUCUUAGCAGAGCCUGGCCAGACUCACUGAGUUCAUCGUAAGACACUGGCGUUACAAUGAAGCACCUCGUCUUGCUUCGAUGUAUUUUGAAGCAGACACUAUCUGCUUUGCCCCGUUGUUCAAAAUGAACCUCCACGUGCCAGACUUCUUUAAUUUUGCUGCACAUUUUAGUGCUUGAAAGAUUAUUAAAGAUAAUAAGAUUACUGAUUCAGAUAAUAAAGAUUAGUGAAGUGAAUGGAACUAGCUAGACACAGUGCUACAAAAUAUCGUUCUGAUACUCGGGAACUGCACCUCAGAAUUUAUACACGGCUAUUGCUUACGUAGUUUUGGAACGCACAAUCGUCUCCAUGGAAAUAGGAUUCAGCGGGACAGCCAAUGAGAUACCUAGCUACUGCAGCCAAUGAAAUGCCUAGUUGUGACAGCGAUGGCGUGCCUAUGGGAAGUUUAACAUAAUAAAAUUUCCAUCCUCACAAUGACUUUCUUUUCAGUCGGAAUCGAUCCAAUAACACGGUCGCCUGUACCGACGUUGAUAAUCUGUUCCGGCCAGACAACCGUGACGACAAAAAACAGCCACGAGCUUACAAUGAGGUGAAAUUUGACCAUCGGGGUGCGGGGGGGUUGCCAGCUGAUUAAUCAUUACUUUCCCCUAGAUUGGGGAUGGGGCGGUAUGCAAUAGUAUCCAAAGGGGAGCAUCGGGACCGGGAAUCAUAAUAUAUUUAGAAAUUCAGUGGAAACUGCGUAUAGUGAUCCCAGUAAUAGUGGCAAGUCGCAUAUAUAGCUCAAAAAGCUUGCGACAAAAUCAAUCCUGUACAAAUUCUGUUUAAAUAACUCACCUAUAGUAAUCAAGUAGUCCGCUAACAGAGUUUGUUUCGGGUCUUUUUAAACGUUAUAAUAUAUAUUAAAACAGCGGUGUUUUUUUUUUUUUACUUUGAUCAUCCUACCUUACCUUGCGGGAGCCCGUCUGCUUCUGACUGGCUAUCCGAGGCUAAUGCAGCGUGCACAGAAAACAUGACAAGAAAGUCAUUUUCUCUUAGUAACAAGCAUAGGCUCAUCAAAGCUUAUGAUUAGCUGCCAAAAACCAGCCACCGAGAUGCAGCAGCGAAACUACAAUAAACGCUUUGAGGCAAUGUAGCGUCGUGAAAAUGCGCUGUUAAUAAAAUUGAAUUGAAUAUUUAUGUACAGUGAUACUGUAUUGUAUUAUAGUGUUCAGUAAUUUAAUUAAUACAGCACUGUUACGUGCCGUAAGUGUUUGCAGGAGGUCCAGGCAGAUUCUUCGGACCUUCCGCUCUCGUCGCCAUUCGCCAGCUGCACUUUCGGCUUUGCCUCCCGUACCUGGCCACGCCCCCUGCCUUCAGCGCUACUUCCUGUGUCUGGGAGAGAGAAGGCCACAGCUCACAAACCUUCAGAGCUCUUGUUCAUUGCUUUUGGUUAUUGGUUUGCUGUAUUAUGUUUGGAUUACUUGUGUAUGGCAGUUUUGUUUCUUGGUUUCAUAUUUUCGCCUCGCCCUUUCCCGGUACCUUCGCCCCGGCUUUGAUUGUUUCUUUGGUCUUGAUCUCCCGCCUGCUUGUUGACUAUUCUUUUGCUUGCCCCCUCGGACACUGUCGUUUUGGCUUUUGUGUUUCCUGUGUGUUGUGCUAUGAUGCGUAUGGAGUGGCCACCAUUUUUGUUCUGCAUGACAGGUUGCUUAAUGGUUGGUUUGGCUAGGGAGAUAGGACUUAGUAUUGUCGUUUUUGUUUGUGUUUUUUUCACUUAGGUUCAGCUUAGAUUGGGGAAUCGUUCGGUGACGGUGUUUUGUUUAUUGUUUUGGCCCGUGUCACUCCCGAAGUCUGUUGCACCUAAUGUUGUGAAAGUGUAUAUAAAAUUAUUAAAAAAAAUAU